UACAGAGGUCCCAAGCGUUGUUCGGAUUCACUGGGCGUAAAGGGUGCGUAGGCGGUCGGGUAAGUCUGACGUGAAAUCUCCAAGCUCAACUUGGAAAUGGCGUCGGAUACUAUUCGGCUUGAGGAAUGGAGGGGAGACUGGAAUUCUCGGUGUAGCAGUGAAAUGCGUAGAUAUCGAGAGGAACACCAGUGGCGAAGGCGGCUUGCUGGGCCAGUUCUGACGCUGAGGAGCGAAAGCGUGGGGAGCGAACAGG
rnacentral:rRNA from 1 species